rnacentral:rRNA from 1 species
AUUGAACGCUGGAGGCAGGCCUAACACAUGCAAGUCGAACGAGUGGCGGACGGGUGAGUAAUGUCUGGGAAACUGCCUGAUGGCGGGGGAUAACUACUGGAAACGGUAGCUAAUACCGCAUACCAUCGGAUGUGCCCAGAUGGGAUUAGCUAGUAGGUGGGGUAACGGCUCACCUAGGCGACGAUCCCUAGCUGGUCUGAGAGGAUGACCAGCCACACGGGAACUGACCGACUGUCCAGACUCCUACGGGAGGCAGCAGUGGUGAAUAUUGUACAAUGGGCGCAAGCCUGAUGCAGCCAUGCCGCGUGUAUGAAGAAGGCCUUCGGGUUGUAAAGUACUUUCAGCGGGGAGGCUUUACCCGCAGAAGAAGCACCGGCUAACUCCGUGCCAGCCGCCGCGGUAAUUC